AUUCUGCCCAUGCGGGGAAGGAUGAGAAGCUUUGACCAAGGUUCGACUCGAGCGCCAGCGAGAGAGCGUUGCCGCAGGCAACG
rnacentral:sRNA from 1 species